AUGGCUUUCAUAAAGCUGUUAUCCUGGAGUGUAGCUUAUCAGGAGGAGAGUGAGUCAGAAUGCAUCUUCCUCCCUGCUAGACAGAAAGCGCCAAAGGAAGCACUGGCUGUGUCACCUAAUGGACCCCCACGUGAAGCACACGGUCCCACAGCAAAGCUCUGUUUCUCCCAUGGCCUGUGGCAUCCCGUACCGGGUUGGCCCAACAGCUGCUUUACUGCAUUUCRUAUCACUGUUGCUUCAUGCUGCCUUUGAUAUCAGAAUAGAUGUGAAAUAAAUAGAAUUACAGAUUACGGAGUGCUUUAACA
rnacentral:lncRNA from 1 species